CGUUUCAGCCUUUAACGGUCUCUCCCAUUCCUUUUCCUUCCAUUUUUCUUUUGAUUUUCCUUAAUGGCUACCACGAAAUGGCUCAAGCCAAGAAGCUUGGAGAUGGCGGUUGGGCUAGGUACGACAUGGUGGAUGUUGCGGAGCUUCAAGAAAAACGAAGAUCAAUAGACAAGUGAAAGCUCUGAUGCUCAAGAUGUCCAGCCAGUGCUGAAUGUUUCCAUGCCAUGUGCUGUCAAAGUUUUCUUCUCCGAUUGCGACGGUGUCGAAGAGAAGCUGUUGUUUGUUGUUUAGGGUUUGGCUUCCCAGUUGCUUAGCAAAAAAAUCCCAAACAAUCUGCAGGAAUUGAGACAUAUACCUGCAUGUAUUUUAUUUUGACAUUGGUGACACAAUAGAAGGGUUCGCUUUCUAAAUGUUAGUUUCUUCCUUUUCCCAUUUACUAUCUAAUUUCUACAUUCUCUUGUAUUUGCACGAGGCCAUCAUUUCCUAUUUAUCUUACAUGAAAGAUUGCUAUUUUUGUUAAUUUGGAGUUUUCACAGGUUAUUGUCUACCUGUAGACUCUGUAUUAACAUGGUGCUGGAGGUUUCCUGGUACCCUUUUGCUACUGGUUAUAUUAAAUGGCAAGGUACAACUUAUUCUAUGGUGCUGACUCGAGCAAUAUUUACUGAAGGCUGUAAAUCAAUGGCUGCGAAUCUGAAUGUAAUGGACUUGCUUAGUGGUAUAAAUAUGCCCAUUGAUGCUAUAUUUCAAAUCUAAAUAGCAUGGCAGUUUUGAUAAGUACACCUGAAGAGAUUAACAUGUGGGCAUUAUCUCUGUAAUUGGUGAACGAGAAAUUGGGAAACCGAUAGCACGGACAAUGAAGAAAGUCGGUAAGGAAUGAAUCAUCACUAUUGCUAUAAAUAUGCUGCAUUUUGGAACUCUCCAUUUGUAAUUUUCUAUGCAUGAUGGAGUGUAAGUCAUUUGCAAUCACGUGGGAUGGAAAUUUUGUGGAUGAUGAGUUGGAAGUGAUGGAAAUGAUGAGGCUAGCCCGUCAUUAUAUAUCUCAUUAUUUUAUUAUAUAAGAGAAGACUAAAAAAUGUAUAUACCUUGUAAAUCUUGUAUUCACGCAGGUCGGAUUUUUCUUACUCUUCUCAUCCUUUCAUAUGAUCUAGGUUUUUACCCCAAUUCUUUAUUUUGUUUGUUUGUUAUUGAGUCACAUUUGCCAUGUCUUGCAAUGAGGUAAUUUUCAUCGUGUAAAAUGAGAUAAAUCUGUUUCCAAAACCUAACUUUUACAGAUAGUGGUUCUGAAAAACAUUAAAUUUAGAGAAAUGCAAAACAGAUGUACAGUUAGUUGAGCUCAUCAACAAUUUAAUUUAAAAUCCUCAAAUUGCACCAGAUGAUAGAUUGAUGAAUUGGACAAAACAUUGUAUGGAAACUUCCAAUAUUUUCCUUCACUUGGUGCAAGUUUUGUCAAUAUUUUAAGAAUCUUAAACCACUCAUAUAGUUCAGAAAUAAUGAUGUUACUCAUAAAUUUAGCUUUUCAUACAUACUUGACUAAAUUAAUCAAACACAUACACUAGAUAGUUCUUUAAUUUUUGGUUUAGAAGACGGUAAUUUUUUUCUUCACUAGAUUUAUUUAACUAGUUGCAACAAUAAGUGACUAACUAUAUACCAAUGGACAUUAGGGUUGCAAUUUGAAGUUUUUAUUCAAAUAACAAUCAUGUUUUGAAAGUAAUAAUUUUCUUGUCCGUCCUAUAAGCCCUUCUUUCUAGCCUCUCUUUGAACAACUAAGAGAGUAACUGAAGGUUUCAAAAACAGUUAACUUCACACAUGAAAGAUAUAUUUGCAUCUAUUGAUUCUACGUUCCUAAUAAAUUUUAUUUGCUCAUGCUUAUUACAAUGCUUCUUUGGCAUGAAAGGUUUUCCAUCGUGCAGUUUUGGCGAGGCAACGUCAAGAUGGAAUAAUAGGAUUGCAUAUAAGUUUUCACAAUGAAUAACAUCACCAGAGAAAACUGCUUUGUUCUUUUCUUGCCAUUAUUAUUUGUAGUUUGUUUUGGCGGAUUUUUGCAUGUUGUUGUUCAAUGUGCUCAAUCUUCUUUGUGUUAUGAUGAACCAUUACAUUUAUUCUUUA